GUGGUGGAGAGGUGAGGAAAAGAGUAAGCGCGAAUCACUCUUCCAAUUAAUGAUGGCACCACUACCUCAAACCACUCCUGGUUCUAUCAUGGAUAUCAAAUCAUUUAAGGCAUCAAUGUUUCUUUGUUUAUAAACCCGGGGAAAACACUGGUUAAACACCCCGUAAACCACUAACAUGUUUAGGGUUUAACAAAGAAAUGAGUUGUAUCCUACCCCACAUCCCAAGAUAUCCAGAGCUUUCAAAUGAUCAUAUAUAAACCUGUGUAAAUAGUGAGUUAUUUCCAAUGUGGGACUUACAAAUUCUAUUUUUCCUAAUCCUAACCCAUCAGAAGAAAUCUCAUGUUCUCAUUCCAGCCAGUUAGAGAGUAGAAGAACCUUAUGAUUGAAACCGAGGACGUCACUCUCAUAAGCUACCAAGAACCAAUGCUAAAGAUUCUGAAGUUACAAGUAAAGUGAGUUCAAGAAAUUUAAUGAAGAUUCCAAAGUUCAUUUUCUGCCCAACAUGAUUAAAUGUCGGAAUAAUUGGAGUGGUUGUGAUGGAGAAUUCAGCAUGCUUCUGCCAUUGAUAUUCUGGUCUUUGACAAGUUAAUCCAUCUGGAAAUUUCAAUUGGAAGCUAUUCUGGGAUUUCUUAGUUUACUUGCUGCUUCAACGUUCCCACAAGCUGGAAGUUCUAAUGAUUAACAAGAAAUCACGAAACCAUGCAACGAGACACGAGUAGUCAAGAUGGAGGCAUUCACUGCUUGUUCCUGAAUUCCUUUAACAUCUCAAAAUUUUAUGCCUUGGAGAAUAUCAAGGAUUAGAAACUGAGCUGGAUUUUAUAGGGUGUAUCAUGCAAAAUGUUAGUGUUAGAGACAAUGACUUUCAACUUAUCAAGAUCCUCAGGUUCAGAGGAAAAACUUCAAAUCUGCAGCAAUUUAUCUAUACUUCAUAGGAAGUUUGAAACCUGUCAAAUCUUAUUCCACUGAAUCUUAUUCUUAGAAGGUUCAGGAUUUGAAUGCAAUCAAUGGCUUUUCUCAGCAUUCCUGGUGUACGUUUGAAGCCACUGCUCUAGCCCAAAACUUGAUCUGCUGUUUCAUGUCACCUGCAGACUUAUUAGAAGCCCAGUUUGGAAUAGGAGGAGCACAACUUUGCACCAACCAUGCCUCGGAUAAGUACCUGCGCUUCAUCUCCAUAAUACCCUCUGUGUUGAAGCUUUCAACCUCAGUCUUUCUCGCUGGUCUACAUCUUGGAAUGCUACAAGUCUGUCAAAGCAAAAAUGACAUAAUGUGAGGACUGAAGAGUUAACUUCAACACCUUCAAAUCAAUCUGAAUUUGGAAGUAUAUAUAUAUGUUUUGAACUUUACUUCGCAAAGAACUAUAGACUUUUCUUAAAGUAGCAUUGUAGCAGCAAGCUACACACACACACACAUAUGUGUGUGUGCUUCCUGUCCUUUUCUUAUGAUAUGAGUUUAUUUAUGCCAAAAACUUUUGGCCUUUUUGGCCAUGCUGUAAUUGGUGCUGGCCACACUAAAAGCAAUCAUAAACUUUAGAAGGGA